UCUCUCUCUCUCUCUCUCUCUCUCUUUCUCUCUGUCCAGGCUCAUGAGCUAGGACGCAUUUGAAGAAAACUAAAACAAACAAACCUGCUACCCCGUCACCCCCGUGAUCGAUUCUUUGCUCUGGACAACUGAGUCCAGCUGUGGAGACAAGCACCCCUCAGGUUAAUGGGAGGAUCAAGUGAGCCAAGUCCCGGCGGAGAAAUGCUGUGAAAAUGGAACUCGGUGGUGCGUGGGUUUAUUUUCUCCAAGACGGCCAGGAAAAUACAAAAGUGAAAGGUUCCAAGCCACUCGUUUGAGAAGAAAGAAAACAAAACCUUCAAGCAACUUGAUUAUAGUCACCAUCUCAUAGUGAUGACUUUUUAAAAAGGCACAAGUUGCUUUAUUAGUGUUUUAAUUAAAUUUUAUAUUUAUAUUAA